rnacentral:rRNA from 1 species
GGUAGUCCACGCCCUAAACGAUGUCAACUAGCUGUUGGGGCCUUCGGGCCUUGGUAGCGCAGCUAACGCGUGAAGUUGACCGCCUGGGGAGUACGGUCGCAAGAUUAAAACUCAAAGGAAUUGACGGGGACCCGCACAAGCGGUGGAUGAUGUGGAUUAAUUCGAUGCAACGCGAAAAACCUUACCUACCCUUGACAUGUCUGGAAUCCCAAAGAGAUUAGGGAGUGCUCGCAAGAGAACCGGAACACAGGUGCUGCAUGGCUGUCGUCAGCUCGUGUCGUGAGAUGUUGGGUUAAGUCCCGCAACGAGCGCAACCCUUGUCAUUAGUUGCUACGAAAGGGCACUCUAAUGAGACUGCCGGUGACAAACCGGAGGAAGGUGGGGAUGACGUCAAGUCCUCAUGGCCCUUAUGGGUAGGGCUUCACACGUCAUACAAUGGUCGGGACAGAGGGUCGCCAACCCGCGAGGGGGAGCCAAUCCCAGAAACCCGAUCGUAGUCCGGAUCGUAGUCUGCAACUCGACUACGUGAAGUCGGAAUCGCUAGUAACCGCGGAUCAGAAUGUCGCGGUGAAUACGUUCCCGGGUCUUGUACACACCGCCCGUCACACCAUGGGAGUGGGUUCCACCAGAAGUAGUUAGCCUAACCGCAAGGAGGGCGAUUACCACGGUGGGGUUCAUGGCUGGGGUGAAGUCGUAACAAGGUAGCCGUAUCGGAAGGUGC